rnacentral:rRNA from 1 species
AUAACGGUCCUAAGGUAGCGAAAUUCCUUGUCGGGUAAGUUCCGACCUGCACGAAUGGCGUAAUGAUGGCCAGGCUGUCUCCACCCGAGACUCAGUGAAAUUGAACUCGCUGUGAAGAUGCAGUGUACCCGCGGCAAGACGGAAAGACCCCGUGAACCUUUACUACAGCUUGACACUGAACAUUGAGCCUUGAUGUGUAGGAUAGGUGGGAGGCUUUGAAGCGUGGACGCCAGUCUGCGUGGAGCCGACCUUGAAAUACCACCCUUUAAUGUUUGAUGUUCUAACCUGGCGCCAUAAUCUGGCGUGGGGACAGUGUCUGGUGGGUAGUUUGACUGGGGCGGUCUCCUCCCAAAGUGUAACGGAGGAGCACGAAGGUCAGCUAAUCCUGGUCGGACAUCAGGAGGUUAGUGCAAUGGCAUAAGCUGGCUUGACUGCGAGAGUGACGGCUCGAGCAGGUGCGAAAGCAGGUCAUAGUGAUCCGGUGGUUCUGUAUGGAAGGGCCAUCGCUCAACGGAUAAAAGGUACUCCGGGGAUAACAGGCUGAUACCGCCCAAGAGUUCAUAUCGACGGCGGUGUUUGGCACCUCGAUGUCGGCUCAUCACAUCCUGGGGCUGAAGUAGGUCCCAAGGGUAUGGCUGUUCGCCAUUUAAAGUGGUACGCGAGCUGGGUUUAGAACGUCGUGAGACAGUUCGGUCCCUAUCUGCCGUGGGCGCUGGAGAAUUGAGGGGGGCUGCUCCCAGUACGAGAGGACCGGAGUGGACGCAUCACUGGUGUUCGGGUUGUCAUGCCAAUGGCACUGCCCGGUAGCUAAAUGCGGAAGAGAUAAGUGCUGAAAGCAUCUAAGCACGAAACUUGCCCCGAGAUGAGUUCUCCCUGAGACUAUAAGUCUCCUGAAGGAACGUUGAAGACGACGACGUUGAUAGGCCGGGUGUGUAAGCGCAGCGAUGCGUUGAGCUAACCGGUACUAAUGAACCGUGAGGCUUAACCUU